GACCUCAGUUUAUAUGCAAAUUAGAAGGAGUUCCUCCUAUGUGCGACAGAGGUAGAGAGAGAGAGAGAGGGAGAGACAAAGAGUCGGAGAAAGCAAGAAAGAGAAAGCGAGAGAAAGAGAAAUUGAGAGAGAGAGUAGGAGAGGGGGGAGAAAGAGAGAGAGAUAGAGAAAGAGAGAGGGAGAGAGAGAGAGACGGAGAGACAGAGGAAGAGAAAGAGAGAGGGAGGGAGAGAGAGAGAGAGGGAGAGCCAGAGAGAGAGAGGGAGAGGGUAAGAGAGAGAGAGAGAGAGUCUCAGACACUAGGCAUCUCUGGUUUUGGGGAUCUUCCUCUCAGCACUGCUGUAUCUCUGCUGAACUGCUCCUCCGGAUUCACACCUCAUCCUCGUCACUAAUAACAUAUGGAACGAUUGGCUGCUUUGUUGCUAUGGCUUAAAGUGCAGAAACUCCCUGAAAGUGUGCCGAGUGCUGAACCCUUCACGCACCCGUGCACCACAAAAGGCAAUAAAACGAGUCGUGGCACGUUGGUGGGAAACUGCCUGGGCGGGGCAGCUGCAGGGGUUCCCAUGUGCCACAUGACAUUUAUCUCAGGAGAAAGUUUCCUCCAGCAACAAUGUUGAGUUGUGUGCAGAUUCAUCACUGUGACAACACAGACGUUUAAUGACCAGAAACAAACACAGCACGAUGCCUCACUGCAGGGUUGUGGAGUUAACCGGGUGAUCCGCAGAGGUUUAGAGGAAGCUCUUCCAAGCUUCAGAAAUGUUUGUAGCCUUCUCAGAUUUGUGUCUCAACCAGUGACUAUAAACGUAAGUGGACAACAUGGUGCUGGACUCCUGCUGUGAGAUUCUUCAGCCUGGUAGAACUGAUCAGGUGCAGUAGAUAUUACCUGAACUUCUGAUAGGACAUCAAACUCUAUCUCAAAGUGCUAUCUAUCUCAGAGCUCCCAGAUGCUUGUUAGCUGACACGUGAAUGUAAAAUACACUAUAUUGCCAAAAGAUUUGGGACGUUUGCCUUUACAUGCACAUGAAUGUAAUAUGGAGUUGUCCCGCCCUUUGCAGCUAUAACAGCUUCAACUCUUCUGGGAAGGCUUUCCACAAGGUUUAGGAGUGUGUUCAUGGGAAUUUUUGACCAUUCCUCUAGAAGUGCAUUUGUGAGGUCAGGCACUGAUGAUGAACGAGAAGGUCUGGCACUGAUGAUGAACGAGAAGGUCUGGCACAGAGUCUCCACUCUAAUUCAUCCCUAAGGUGUCCUAUCAGGUUGAGGUCAGGACAGGAAAGGGUCAUCCCCAAACUGUUCCCACAAAGUUGAGAGAAUGAAAUUGUCCAAAAUGUCUCGAUAUGAAGCAUUAAGAGUUCCUUUCACUGGAACUAACCCUGAAUUUAAUGAUUUAGAGGGGUGUCCCAAAACUUUUGUUAAUGCAGUGUAUACCACAAAAUAUACUAAUAAACACCUUGUUCUGCUGGUGGACUUCAUUUAAAAACAUACAACUGGCUGACCUCAGCAAGCUUUUAGUUAAGAUCAUACAGUCAGUAGUAACUAGUUUCUGAAAUGUAGGUUUGUUCCAUUGAUGCAUUCUAUGUCAAUACACAGAACUGAGCUAGCUUCCAUAGCAUACUGGAAACAAACUCCAAAGAACACAGCUGAAGGUCUGUUUACAGCAGAACAAGACAUGGAUUCAUCACAGAGCUUUCAAGAGCACCAGGAAAAUCAACCUGUAUCAACCUGGUGUCCUGGAGGAAAACCUCCCUGAGACAAUAUGAGGAAGAAACCUCAAAAGUGAACCUCAUCCUCAUGAGUGUCACUGGAGCAUGAGAUUAUAAAUCAUUUCCCUUUGUACUGUGUACCAUAUGCUCCAAAAGUGAUGAUGCAGAGAAAAUUUUAUACACCAACACAAUCUUCCUCCAGAACAGGAAGAAAACUGAUCUGGAAUGCUAGCUGCUCCACCCACUGAGAAACGCUAUUACCAUGGCAACCAGUAGUAGGAUAGAAACACCUACUGGAGACUUCCAUGAGCUAGUGAACCAGUAUGAGGGUGUGUUUAUAUCGAUGGAGACUUGGAUAAGGGCGUGACUGUAAAACAUCAAGUGUAGUUCUGUAGAAACAUCUCGAGAAGGAGCUGAAGGAACGAUUUAAUCCACCCGAGAGUACGGCUGUAAUGAAAAACAAAUCAAUAGGAUGGAAUAAACUGAUUCCCGUCUGCUUUGGUGGGAUUAUUGUGUUCAGGAUUAUUGCCCUGGAAAAUCAUUAAAGUUCUAUUAGAAACGAAUUCCAUUCAACAGUUCAGAUAUGAUGAAGUUUUCUCAGAGCUACAGUAAUAAUCCUGUGAUCCUGACUCAAGUCUGAACGCAGCCGAAGCAUGCCCUCUGCCGUCCUGAACCGAUCCCUGCUCCGCAGAGGGAAGAGAGGAAGAGGGGAGGAGGUUGACAUCUGAGCCGUUUUGAUGAGAAGACCUCACACGACAGCUCUCUGAUUUAAAUGGACUUUCAGUGAAACACACCUGAGCUUUGCAAUUCAACAAGGUUUUUAUUAAGGGAGACCUGGAUCUAACAUUACCAUCAUAUACAUUUUUCCCCAGUUGUUAACUUGCAAUUACAUAUCAUAAUGUGUAUACACAGUUUUAAGCAUAAAAAUAUCCAUACAAAAAAAAAAAUACAUUUUAUAGGAUAGUAAUAUAGGAACAGCAGUGACAAAGUGGAGCAGAGGGGCCUGCUCCUUCGGCCUGUUUCUGCUCGAUUUUAAAAAAUACGGAUUGCACGCAAAAAUAAUAAUAAAAAAAAAAUUAGCUCUAUACAUACAAAAUAAUCAUAAUAAUUAUAAUAAGUAGGAGGAGAGACGGGGGAACCAAAGGAAAGAGGCAGACGUGCAGAGGCAGAGGGAGCGAGGCGUCCAAGUGUAUGUGCGAGGAAGGCUACACCUCCCUGCGAGUCGGGGAGAAAAUACAGCGCCGUGAUGGACGACACUUUUCGGCCUCGCGGGAACGAAGGCAUGUUUCACAAGACACUGGUGCAGUGAGCUAGUCGGUCAUCGCUUCACUGACGAGGACCGUGUAAAGGUCCCCUGAUUGCCAAGACACAGGCUGGAACAGUAACUAGUUUGAGGAUAUGUAAACAGAGAAGAUUCGAAACCCAGCCAAACUGCGCUAUGGUGCGGCGGUUCGUCUACGUAAACGUGAAAAAACAAAAACAACCAUCGAUUAGAAAACACUAGCCAUGUAAACGUCGCCUUGAUCAGGCUUGUGUAGAGCGAGAUCGUCUGGACCUCCGCCGGAGUUAUACCUCAUGUUUUACUACUCCAUUUUAAAGCCCUUUGCGUGUGAAAGAUAGACGGAGGGAAAAAAACAAAACAAAAAAAACAACGGCGUGACGUACAGCGUUAAACGGAUAUGCUGCGUGUCCCUGACCACACGGAGACUCGGACAUUUUUAUUGGUCUUAAUGUAAAGGCAACGACAUCAGAAAAUUCUUCACACCAAAUAUUACAACUAGAAAAACCAUGGAGAAUUUUACUCUAUGAAAAAAAAUAAAUAAAUAAAAUAAUGCAAAAAAAAAAAAUAAAUAAAAAAUUGCUCUGAGCUUUAUUUAUACUUAAUUGCAAACUGCUACAGUUUUAGGUAUGGUUUUUAUUUUUAUUUUUUUAAACAUUAAAGCGGCACCAGUUCGGGGAGAAUGGGUAAAAUAAUACUGGGGGAAAAAAAUUACGCUUUUUUUAAAAAAUAAAAAUAUUUCUCAAAAAAAAAAUUAUGUUUAUUCAACUAAAAAUUACUUUCAAAAAUUAAAAAAAAAAAAUUACACAUUUUUUCAAAACUAACUGCAGCAUCUUUAUUCUCCACUCGAUGUUUAGUGCCAUUCAGGACUUUUGGUAUGGAUACAUCCCCACCCCGAGUGUGACCGUGUUUUAAACACAAUGACACAAAGUGUUGUCCAUUUCCUCCGUCUGUCAGUAAAAGAAGAAAAUAAAAUAAUUCUACAUAGUAACAGUCACUGUCGUGUUGAUAAUAAAGCUGUUUUUAACAGCAGAGGCAAAAAAGAUUAAAUAAAUUAAUGGGGGGAAAAAAAGAGUUUGCAAAUACGAAAAAGGACUUGACUCCAAGAGCUCUCUUGAACACUUGGGAGUUAAAAAACAAACAAAAACAAACAAACAAGUAAACUGCAAACCAUUUGGAAUGAAUCCAACGUUGGAAGACGAAGUUCAGCACCGCCUUUCGACAUUUACAUCUCGUUUUAUUUCUUUCUGCAAAAAUAGUUAAUAAAUCAUGAAGAACGUGUUUGUUUUUUAUUUCCUGGUCUGUCUAACACUAGGCGGAUUGGAGAGGUUUCCGUCCAUCACCACCAAACUCUGUGGUUGACCGUGUUAAAGGAUUUAAAAAAAAAAAAAAAAAAAAGAA